rnacentral:rRNA from 1 species
AUUGAACGCUGGCGGCAGGCCUAACACAUGCAAGUCGAGCGAGCGGCGGACGGGUGAGUAAUGUAUGGGGACUGCCCGAUAGAGGGGGAUAACUACUGUAAACGGUGUCUAAUCCCGCAUACUAUCGUAUCACCCAUAUGGGAUUAGCUUGUAUGUGGGGUAAAGGCUCACCUAGGCGACGAUCCCUAGCUGGUCUGAGAGGAUGAUCAGCCAACAUGGGACGGAGACACGGCCCAGACUCCUACGGAGGCAGCAGUGGGGAAUAUGGCACAAUGGGCGCAAGCCUGAUGCAGCCAUGCAGCGUGUAUGAAGAAGGCCUUAGGGUUGUAAAGUACUUUCAGCGGGGAGGCGUUACCGGCAGAAGAAGCACCGGCUAACUCCGUGCCAGCAGCCGCGGUAAUAC